GGGGUAUGCGGGCGCGAAUUCGCCCUUCAGGCCUAACCAUGCAAGUCGAGCGACGAAAGCCUUCGGGUGAGUAAGAGCGGCGCACGGGAGAGCAAUACGUAGAUAAUCUGCCCUUAGCUGGGGAAUAACCCUCCGAAAGGAGGACUAAUACCGCAUAAGACCACAAGGCCUGCGGGCCAAGGGGUUAAAGGAGCAAUUCGGCAAAGGAUGAGUCUGCGUCCGAUUAGCUAGUUGGUGAGGUAAUGGCUCACCAAGGCGAUGAUCGGUAGCUGGUCUGAGAGGAUGAUCAGCCUCACUGGAACUGAGACACGGUCCAGACUCCUACGGGAGGCAGCAGUAGGGAAUAUUGGACAAUGGGGGAAACCCUGAUCCAGCAACGCCGCGUGAGUGAUGAAGGCCUUCGGGUCGUAAAGCUCUGUCGUAAGGGAAAAAACAAAUGAUGGUACCUUACAAGAAAGGACCGGCCAACUUCGUGCCAGCAGCCGCGGUAAUACGGGGGGUCCAAGCGUUGUUCGGAAUCACUGGGCGUAAAGCGCAGGUAGGUGGCUUUUCAAGUCUGUUGUGAAAGCCCAGGGCCUAACCCUGGAAGUGCAGUAGAUACUGUUAAGCUUGAGUAUGGGAGAGGAUAGUGGAAUUCCUGGUGUAGUGGUGAAAUACGUAGAGAUCAGGAGGAACACCGGUGGCGAAGGCGGCUAUCUGGCCCAAUACUGACACUGAGCUGCGAAAGCGUGGGGAUCAAACAGGAUUAGAUACCCUGGUAGUCCACGCCGUAAACGAUGGAUACUUGUUGUUGGAGGUAUUGACCCCUUCAGUGACGUAGCUAACGCGUUAAGUAUCCCGCCUGGGGAGUACGGUCGNCAGAUUUAAAACUCAAGAAAUUGACGGGGGCCCGCACAAGCG
rnacentral:rRNA from 1 species